UACGGUAGGGCGCAAGCGUUAUCCGGAAUUAUUGGGCGUAAAGAGCUCGUAGGCGGUUUGUCGCGUCUGCCGUGAAAGUCCGGGCUCAACUCCGGAUCUGCGGUGGGUACGGGCAGACUAGAGUGAUGUAGGGGAGACUGGAAUUCCUGGUGUAGCGGUGAAAUGCGCAGAUAUCAGGAGGAACACCGAUGGCGAAGGCAGGUCUCGUGGGCAUUAACUGACGCUGAGGAGCGAAAGCAUGGGGAGCGAACAGG
rnacentral:rRNA from 1 species